rnacentral:rRNA from 1 species
AAGCCGGUCUCAGUUCGGAUCGGGGUCUGCAACUCGACCCCGUGAAGUCGGAGUCGCUAGUAAUCGCAGAUCAGCAACGCUGCGGUGAAUACGUUCCCGGGCCUUGUACACACCGCCCGUCACGUCAUGAAAGUCGGUAACACCCGAAGCCAGUGGCCUAACCCUCGGGAGGGAGCUGUCGAAGGUGGGAUCGGCGAUUGGGACUAAGUCGUAACAAGGUAGCCGUACCGGAA